rnacentral:lncRNA from 1 species
UGGAGUUUGGAUGUCCCAAAUGUUUGUGCCAAACUUCACUUUUAUUGUUAACAGUUAUACAAGCCAAAGAUAAACAACUAGGAAUAGAAAAAUGUAAUGGAAACAAUCGUCCAAUUUUAGGCCCCUUCGCUAGUAUCUUCCCCGACACCUGAUCCUGCACAAGAACACCAUCACGAGAAAAAUGGACAUCAUAAUUGUUAUCAACUAAUUGACCAACUGAAAUCAGAUUU